GCGGCGGACGGGUGAGUAACACGUAGGUAACCUACCUAUAAGACUGGGAUAACUUCGGGAAACCGGAGCUAAUACCGGAUAAUAUUUCGAACCGCAUGGUUCGAUAGUGAAAGAUGGCUUUGCUAUCACUUAUAGAUGGACCUGCGCCGUAUUAGCUAGUUGGUAAGGUAACGGCUUACCAAGGCAACGAUACGUAGCCGACCUGAGAGGGUGAUCGGCCACACUGGAACUGAGACACGGUCCAGACUCCUACGGGAGGCAGCAGUAGGGAAUCUUCCGCAAUGGGCGAAAGCCUGACGGAGCAACGCCGCGUGAGUGAUGAAGGUCUUCGGAUCGUAAAACUCUGUUAUUAGGGAAGAACAAACGUGUAAGUAACUGUGCACGUCUUGACGGUACCUAAUCAGAAAGCCACGGCUAACUACGUGCCAGCAGCCGCGGUAAUACGUAGGUGGCAAGCGUUAUCCGGAAUUAUUGGGCGUAAAGCGCGCGUAGGCGGUUUUUUAAGUCUGAUGUGAAAGCCCACGGCUCAACCGUGGAGGGUCAUUGGAAACUGGAAAACUUGAGUGCAGAAGAGGAAAGUGGAAUUCCAUGUGUAGCGGUGAAAUGCGCAGAGAUAUGGAGGAACACCAGUGGCGAAGGCGACUUUCUGGUCUGUAACUGACGCUGAUGUGCGAAAGCGUGGGGAUCAAACAGGAUUAGAUACCCUGGUAGUCCACGCCGUAAACGAUGAGUGCUAAGUGUUAGGGGGUUUCCGCCCCUUAGUGCUGCAGCUAACGCAUUAAGCACU
rnacentral:rRNA from 1 species